UUGGCUCCGCCCACAGGGGUAUAAGGGAUUUGUCCAACGGCAAACAACCAAUGAGAUUAAAGAAUUUUACAUGAAGGCGAGAUAAUAAGGUUUAAUAUAUUUAUCUCCUUAUGGUACUGUAGAAAGGACACACUACAACUUAGAAAAUAAUUAACGAGUUACGAGGAAUUAUGAAUUAUCUGUCCCGAGUGAAUGAAUGUUGUAAACCCGAGUUGGUUAUUCUCUUUAUUACCCAUUGUCGAUUUUAACCGAUUCUUAAUGUAAAAUUCUUCUGGGCCCGGUUGUUCGAAACCAGGGUUAACUUAAUCACUGAUUAACGCUAACUAUGAGUUAAAUUCCUUAACCCAGGGUUGGCUAAUCACUGGUUAAAAAUCCGUUGCUGAAACACACUUUUGACUCUGGGUUAGCAAACCCAGGGUUAGUUUUCACUAACCCAGGGUUAAUUGCAAUUGACCAAUGAAUGCAAAGUAAACAACUUCCCAUAAUUCUAUUCUUUAUUUACUUCUGUAAAAUUUGUUCGUCUGCUAGGUCAUUUUUUAAGAGUUAAUUAAUUACACAAUGAAUAGCAAACGCAAUCCGAAUUUUGAUAUUCGCGAAGUCUCUGUUAUCGUGGACUAUGUGGCACAACAUAUAGAAACAUUAAUGGCGAAAUUGACUAACAGUGUUACAAACGAAAGAAAACAAAAGCUGUGGACUACGCCGACAGCUGAACUGAACUCUUUGGGUAUCGCACUAAGAAACCCGACACAGGUGAAAGAGAAAUGGAGAAAUUUGUACGCGGCAGCAAAAAAAAACAGAAUGCCGAGAGAAUUAAGUGUACGCGUUUGACAGGUGGGGGACCCGCCCCCAAAGAACUGUCGCCAGUGACGGCGAAAAUCGUCGACAUUUUUGCGGAUGACCCCAGCUUCAUUGGGCUUCCAGACGGUCUGGAGACCAUCAUUGGUCCCAUCGAAAAGUCAUUGACUAAUGAACAAAAGAGUGUUGAUGAAGAAGUGGAAGAAGACAUUAGUGACUUAAACCUCAGUGAUGAAACACCAUUCGCCCCAGGUAGCAGCUAUGUGGACAUGAGCACUAGUCCAAAUGAGGUUCAGCCGGAGCCGAAACGUCACAAAAUAUGGAAAACCCCAGAAAAAGGAAAUAUUCUUUGAUGAAAUCCGGUGGACAACAUAAUGAUGUUGAUCAUUUGAAGAAAACAAGAACAGGAAUGCCUGGAGAUGAGCUUAAAA
rnacentral:misc_RNA from 1 species